GCCCCUGUGGCGCAAUGGUAGCGCUGUAGAUUUCUACUCUAAGGGUCGCGAGUUCGAAUCUCGCCGGGGGUU